rnacentral:rRNA from 1 species
UACGUAGGGGGCAAGCGUUGUCCGGAAUCAUUGGGCGUAAAGAGCGUGUAGGCGGCCAGAUAAGUCCGCUGUGAAAUCUCGAGGCUCAACUUCGAGCUGUCGGUGGAAACUGUCUGGCUAGAGUCCGGAAGAGGCGAGUGGAAUUCCCGGUGUAGCGGUGGAAUGCGCAGAUAUCAGGAGGAACACCAACGGCGAAGGCAGCUCGCUGGGACGGUACUGACGCUGAGGCGCGAAAGCGUGGGGAGCGAACAGG